GCUUAGAAAAACAAGUUUUCUAUUUAUUUAAAAAUAAGUUUAUAGGUACUACAUUGCAGGGACAGGAAUUCUUACACAUACAUUCUAGUCUGUAUAAAAGGAUUCCAAGAAUUAUGCAUCAAAACUAACAUAGAAAGUGUCCACGUAACAGUAAAGAAAGGUCCAAUCAAUAUGUACAAAAAGAAAGGGCCUGCUACUGUGGUGCAAGACUGCCGUUUAUGACAUGAUACUCCAGGUUUAGAGAAAUAAAACAAGAACAUCAAUAAAGCUAAAUAAUUUUAAAAACUCUGUCACUUAUUACAUACAACAGAUCUGCUUGUGUUUAACAUUGCUUUCUGUACAAAAUAAACAUAAUUUUAAUUUGAAAUGUGUCAGUUACAAUAUUAACCCUUUAGGUCUGUUGCUUUUUUAAAAAUUGAGCUAUGUUUAGACAUCUAAAUAUCCCAUGGUGGGAUUUAGUAGUUUUCUUAAUAACUUUUUAAGACCUGUUUCUUCUUGCUGUUUCAAUAUGGUCUAAAAAUGUAACAUUGUAUCUUACUUUUUAAUUUAUUGUUGUGAUAAAUCAACACACACAUCCUUGAAAGUAGUCAGCAUGCGUGUGCAUCUGUCUUGUAAGUGCAUGUACUAUAAUACAAUCCUGAACCUAUCUUCUUAGUUCUUUAAAUGUAGAAACUCAUCCAUAUACUACUUUGUAUUUGGUUUGUGCCAUAUAAGGUUAAUUUCCUGAUAUUUUUAUCUGCAUUAAAAAAGUAUUUCAAAACAGAGCUAUUGAAACUAAAAAAUAUAUUUAUAGCUCAGAUAAUCUACUCAGUGUACUGUGUGUGGGUUCAUCUCCAGAGCGCUCAAAGUGGUACUUAUGGUCUUCUGACUCAAUUUGACCUCUUCCUGGAGUACUGUACAUAGUUCAAAAAUGUCUUUUCAUUUGGAUCACUUUGAUAAGUAUAAUUAAAAACAAAAUAGUUUCUUAGUAAAUGCAUUAAUUUUAAAGUCACCUAGAAAUCAUUUUUUUUUUAUGGAAACAAAAGAUGUACUUUAACAUAAGACUACUUACUGCCUAAUCAAGUUACUACUGUUAGCAAUAUCUUCUGGAUAAUAUGGGAGAAAUGCAUUCCAAACAAAAGUAAUCUUCCCCCUAUUCACCUUUAAAAUUCUAGGAUAAACAUUGAUAAUAGCCCUUUGGUAACUCAAGUAUCUUGGUCCAUUUAAUCUACUCAAAAUUAAACUUCAGGUGAACAAAAUAUUAAAGAUCAGUUUGUUUUCUUUAGACAGAUAGAAAGCUCAAAUUACAUUAGAGAGAAACUUAUGGAUAGCUAUGAUUAUACAAAAUGGAAUGUCAAAAUAAAACACUGUCAACUGAAACUAAUUGUGUAAAUGCUGCUAAAAUAUCAUGCAGGGUUUAACUUUAUUCCAAUAAACCUGUGAAGGUUCUGUUAGUCUAUGCUGCAGCUAAGAGACAGUUCUGUUGUUAAUCAUUAUGUGGUGUGAGAAUGCUCGCUGUUCACUGUCUUACAUACUUAAUCUCCAAGUGAAACUGUAUCCAGUCAACCUGUGUGUCCGAUGUGUCCUAAGCACCUGACAAUGUCCACAGCUAUCUAAUUAGAGUAAGACGACUGUUAGUAACUCACCAACCUUCAGUUGUAGUGAGACAAUGCAAAACAACACUGGAAAUAAGGCCCUUAAUUUUCAGUUUAUACUUAUGUGCAGAAGACAAAGAGUGCUCUAGACAAUACUUUAAGAUGCUACAUUUCUACUUCCAAAGGCUGGUAGACUGCAAUUAGACUGAGUCUUUAAACUACUCCUGUGACAACACUGAAACUUCUGUUAAACUUGGGCUUUGUGAAGCCAGGAUAGCAUAAGAGAACAGUAUGGUUGAAUAUUAGAAAUAUAUAUAAACUGAGUUUUUCUUUUUGGUAUUGCUGCUGUUGUAGCCCUAGUCCUGAACGUGGUUUGCAGCUAAAGGUAACUUUGAACUCUUGAUGUUUUCUGUCUCCACUUCCCAAAUGCUGGGAUUUCAGCCAUGGACCACUGAACGCAGCCUGAAAACUGGUAUCUAUGUUCCAUGUACAUAGUAAAUUUCCUUUCUGAAAGUUUCAGUAAACUUGAGAUUUUUCUUAUUGCUUACCUAAGACAAGCGCUAACAAUUCCUUCUGGCCUAUAAGCAGUAUAUAGGAUGUUACUGCCUCAAAGAGGAGACU
ensembl:lncRNA